AAAUCUCAACUAUACUGGUGUUUCUGGUGUAGCUUGGAUAUGGGAGAUGAGAAAAUACUAUUCUCUUGCAGGCUUUUUUAUAGUUGAAGUCGGCUCUCCUGAAAAUUAUUAGUGGUGCCUUAGUAGGAACUGUCUACAGGUGUGAUAAUCUUCUACGCCUUAGAUGUCUGGAUGCAUAGGACCCAAUGCUGCUUAUAAAUUAAAUUUAUGAAUGACAA
rnacentral:misc_RNA from 1 species